rnacentral:rRNA from 1 species
UGAACGCUGACAGAAUGCUUAACACAUGCAAGUCUUUGGCGAAGCUGUGCUUGCACAGCCUAGCCAAGGCGGACGGGUGAGUAACGCGUAAGGAACUUGCCCUGCAGUCAGGGAUAACAGACGGAAACGACUGAUAAGACCUGGUAAAGUCAGGCGGACUCAUGUCCAGCCUGAUGAAAAGAGAUGCUGCAGGAGAGCCUUGCGUCCUAUUAGCUUGUUGGUGGGGUAACGGCCCACCAAGGCGAUGAUAGGUAGCCGGCCUGAGAGGGUGGACGGCCACAAGGGGACUGAGAUACGGCCCUUACUCCUACGGGAGGCAGCAGGGGGGAAUAUUGGACAAUGGGGGCAACCCUGAUCCAGCAAUUCUGUGUGCACGAUGAAGGUUUUCGGAUUGUAAAGUGCUUUCAGCAGGGAAGAAAAAAUGACGGUACCUGCAGAAGAAGCGACGGCUAAAUACGUG